AUUCUACUCCCUCCGAUCCUAAAUUGUUGUCGAAAUAUUACAUGUAUCUAAACGCUUUUUAAGAAUAGAUACAUUCAUAUUUAGGCAAAUUUGAGUCAAAAAUUUAGGAUCAGAGGGAGUAUAAU
rnacentral:pre_miRNA from 1 species